AGUGAACGCUGGCGGUAGGCCUAACACAUGCAAGUCGAACGGCAGCACUUUUAUUGUUUGCUUUUACGGGUGGCGGGUGGCGGGCGUGUGACGAGUACAUCGGGAUCUACUUUUUCGGGGAUCAUCACGUAGCGAAACCUCCACUAAUACCGCAUACGGUCUACGGCUGAAAGCAGGGGACCAUCACACCUUUCGCGAUUGAAUUAGCCGAUGUCGGAUUAGUUAGUUGGCGGGGUAAAGUCCCACCAAGGCGACGAUCCGUAGCUGGUCUGAGAGGAUGGUCAGCGACACUGGAACUGUGACACGGUCCAGCCUCCUACGGGAGGCAGCAGUGGGGAAUAGUAGGCAGUGGGAGCAAGCCUGAUCCAGCCAUACCGCGUGAGUGAAGAAGGCCUUCGGAUUGUAAAGCACUUUUGUUGGGAAAGAAAAGCUGCAGGUUAAUACCCCGCAGUUCUGACGGUACCCAAAGAAUAAGCACCGGCUAACUUCGUG
rnacentral:rRNA from 1 species